rnacentral:lncRNA from 1 species
GAUUUAGUGACUUUCAAGUCAAGCAAAUUAGUUGAUGAACAGGGAUCAUACGAGAAUAUCGUUCUUAAUAGAAAAGGCAGAGAUGAAUAAAAACCCUUAAGAUCAAAACACCGAAAGGAUUAAGCCAAUUGAGUUCCAAUCAGCAUACUUUUCAGUAGGCCAAAGAGGGUAUCUGCAGCAAUGCUCAAUGAGUUCUUUUCCAAAAUUGGUACCUAAGUGAUGAUGUGAUUGAUACUAUCAUAAUAUAGGGGGAAACACUGAUGGCCCUUCUCCCCCUCACUAUUUGCAGCACUUCCUUCGGGACAGUUGGUGGUCUUGUUAGAGACAGAAGAGCCCAGCCAGCAUAUCCAGGGCUAGGUAUUUCCGACCUAUAAUGGUGCAUCUGGGAGAGACUGGAGAUGAAUGGGCUGAGAGUUCUGACCGUCAAAUGAUGAAGCUCACGUGAGUGCCACUGUGAAUACAGUUAUUUCUGGGAGUAAACCUUCUUUUCCCCUUGUCUCCUUGGACUUUGGUAGAAUGUCUUCUCAUGAACGUCUCGGUGGGUUCUGUCCUUGCUUAACAAAUCCGGCUCCUAGGUCGUCUGUGUAGUACAUGCUCUCAGAAUCUCCAAUGUGCCAGACCCAGGCAGCUGUUCCUGUUUGAUUGUCGACUCAACUAUGAACUGUUCCUCCUGACAUUUGCUUGUGAAGAUAGCUUUGGCAGACUUGUGAAGAAGCAGACAAGGCGAUUUUGUGUCGGUGAAAAUGCAUCAACAUUUUAAUUGUUUUAGUUCCUUUUCUGUCCAGAGAGCUCUUGAAACUUUGCCCAUUCUGCCUGGAAAUCCUGGACAUUGAUUCUGCCUUGGGGGUUCGUGGUGCUCAGACCCCAAUUUCCACUCAUUAUCAGAGAGCUGAAUUCUAAAUCAGAGACUGCGGAGGAAAGAUGUGCAACCUGAAUAAAACAUUUCCAGAAGAGCCUGAAUAAUGGUCCUGAAUAAAGGGAACUGAAAUGUUCUUGAAUUAUAAUUGGGAAAAAUUUAAGUAUGUGUACUCAAGAACACAUGUACUAAGAAGAGGGCAUUCAGAAAUUAGCAAACAAUUUGUCAGAUUUAUACAAGAUUACUGAGAAAUUGGAGAAGGGGAGUAAGGAUGGAAAGAUGAGGAAGACUAAAGAUCAGUGUCAGUCUCUGACUCCAAGGGCUUUAUGCUCCACAGGUAAGUAAUCAAAUAUCUUUUCUUCUUUGUCUCAUAUCAACAAUAUAGAAUAAACAGUGAUGAUUACUUUGGAGAAACUGUCUC